UCUGAAUAGAGCCCCGGGAGUGCAGUGGGAUCUGGCUUUCUGUUUUCAAGACACCAGGAUCUGUCUUUGCAUGAAAAGAUCAUGGCUGAAGCCGCAGGUCAGAAAGUUAGGCAGCCACUAGGCCGGCCACAGACUUCGGAGGAACUGGCAUUUUAUGCUCGGACUCACAUAUUCCUGACGAUCUGUGCACUGCUUCUUUGCCCGCCCUUUGGAUUGUUAGGCCUCCUCUUCGCCUUUAAGACCAAGGAGGCUAAUCAGUACAGCGACUGGGAAGAUGCUUAUCUGAACUCAACUCGAACUAUUUGGAUGGAUGUAUUUGGCAUACUUGUGGGUUUAGGCAUCAUUUACUAUUAUGUCCUAUUUAUGUGACCCAGCAUCCUCAGGCUCACUCCCCUACAGACAUGCCCACUUAAGACAUCGACCAACCACCUAGAAGAAACCCAGUGCUUCAGACAUCCUUUAGCCAAGAAACCCACCAACCUAAAACUGAACACCUAAGCAACCUGCCAGGCCAAGAAGUCCCAAGGCCACCUGCCUGUACCACAUCAGCUCACAGUCAUUUGGCCUUCACAGCUGUCUCCAUCCACCGUGGAGGCCCACACUCAAGUCCUAAAUCUGUGUAAGUCACUGAGCUGCUCUUUCCUGAAAAGAAAGAAAGAAUCAUAUUUCUUAGCCCAAUAAAGUUGAAGGGAAUAUUCUGACUUC